CAGAGUUUUAAACCUGGGAAAGGAAAUAACAGAGCGCGCCCAACGCAAUGAAGAAACUUCCAGAUACUGAGAGGUGUACUGCGCAUUUACCAGAUCUUUACAUUGAUGUGCAGAUGUGUCAUGGGGAACUUGUCUUUUACACGGAUGACUGCGCAGAAUUAAACCGUAAAGCGACUAUCCCCACUUGAGGUAUCAUGCACGCCACCGCCAGUCUUGAACUGCAGAAGAAGGCAUGUUUUUUUUUCAUGUAGAUGUUUAGAGUAAUAGAGCAAUA